rnacentral:rRNA from 1 species
UACGAAGGGGGGCGAGCGUUUGUUCGGAUUUACUGGGCGUAAAGGGCGCGUAGGCGGCGGGUCAAGUCGAGUGUGAAAGCCCCGGGCUCAACCUGGGAAUUGCGCUCGAGACUGGUCUGCUUGAGUUCGGGAGAGGAGAGUGGAAUUCCCAGUGUAGAGGUGAAAUUCGUAGAUAUUGGGAAGAACACCGGUGGCGAAGGCGGCUCUCUGGACCGAGACUGACGCUGAGGCGCGAAAGCGUGGGGAGCAAACAGG